UACGAAGGGAGCUGGCGUUGUUCGGAAUUACUGGGCGUAAAGGGCGCGUAGGCGGUUUGUUAUGUCAGAUGUGAAAGCCCCGGGCUUAACCUGGGAACUGCAUUUGAAACUGGCAGACUAGAGAUCGAGAGAGGAAAGUGGAAUUACAAGUGUAGAGGUGAAAUUCGUAGAUAUUUGUAAGAACACCAGUGGCGGAGGCGACUUUCUGGCUCGAUACUGACGCUAAGGCGCGAAAGCAUGGGGAGCGAACAGG
rnacentral:rRNA from 1 species